CGCAUCUGUGCAUGCAGCAUAUCAAUAAGCGGAGGAAAAGAAACUAACAAGGAUUCCCCUAGUAACGGCGAGUGAAGCGGGAAGAGCUCAAAUUUGAAAUCUUAAAGGGUUUCCCUUUACGAAUUGUAGUUUAAAGAAGGUGUUUUCUGUUGAGGUUUUGGUAAAAGUUCUUUGGAAUAGGACAUCAUAGAGGGUGAGAAUCCCGUAUUUGACCUUUACUUUCAACUUUGUGAUACACUUUCAAAGAGUCGGAUUGCUUGGGAAUGCAGUCCAAAAUGGGUGGUAAAUUUCAUCUAAAGCUAAAUAUUGGCGAGAGACCGAUAGCGAACAAGUACCGUGAGGGAAAGAUGAAAAGAACUUUGAAAAGAGAGUUAAACAGUACGUGAAAUUGUCAAAAGGGAAGCGUUUGACACCAGUGUUGUUUUUCUGAAAAUCAAUUAAAGAACUGUUUAUGCUAAGUUGUUUAGACUUUAUCAGCUAACUGUUUAGUUUUGAGCUUUUCUUUAAUGCACUUUUCAGUUAACAAGUCAACAUCAAUUUCUUUUGCUGUAAAAAAGCUUGAGGAAGGUGGCUUGAGGUUCGUCUUAAGUGUUUAUAGCCUCUUGCCUAUGCAGUCGGAGAGAUUGAGGUCUGCAGCGUAGAUCCUUCGGGGCUAAAUGCAUUUGUGCUAAGUUAUAGCAUUUUAUAGACAACUUGUUGACUAUGAUUUGUCUUGUAGCUUACUCGCUUAUGUUAUUUUACCUACGCUUAGGAUGUUGACGAGACUGUCGAUCUC
rnacentral:rRNA from 1 species